rnacentral:rRNA from 1 species
UUGGGAAUAUUGGACAAUGGGCGAAAGCCUGAUCCAGCAAUGCCGCGUGAGUGAUGAAGGCCCUCGGGUCGUAAAGCUCUUUCAGCAGGGAAGAAGAGAAAUUUGACGGUACCUGAAGAAGAAGCACCGGCUAACUCCGUGCCAGCAGCCGCGGUAAUACGGAGGGUGCAAGCGUUGUUCGGAAUCAUUGGGCGUAAAGCGCGUGUAGGCGGCCAAAUAAGUCUGGUGUGAAAGCCCGGGGCUCAACCCCGGAAGUGCACUGGAUACUGUUUGGCUAGAGGACGAGAGAGGAAAGUGGAAUUCCUGGUGUAGGGGUGAAAUCCGUAGAUAUCAGGAGGAACAUCGGUGGCGAAGGCGACUUUCUGGCUCGUUUCUGACGCUCAGACGCGAAAGCGUGGGGAGCAAACAG